ensembl:lncRNA
CUGGAGGCUGUUACAGGGCAGGACUGCUGCCUCCUCUGUUUUCUUAUGAAAUACACCCACAAAGCAACCUGCAGAGGCUCCAGUCUGCCAAAUCAAAGGGAUCGCAGUUGUCCCAGGGCUACACACUCAGAGCAGCAUUCCAAGCAAAGCUACAUUUCUAAAACCUGGGCUGCAGAAAUUAAAGGCGCAGGCAGCCUUUCCUUCCUUCCCCCAUCGCCUCUGACUGCAUCCUGUCCCACCUCCCCUUUGCUCCCCCCUCCCUCCCCCCGACAUUGACAAGAACUGAAGCGAUGAACUUUUCCAGCCCACGUGGAUGUCCUGGAUCCCGAACCACAGCGGCUCUCCAUCCCUCGGCACCAGCUCCUUUGUGACCGUGCUCCCCCACACCACGACGUUCCUUCUGGCUCUUCUCCAAUUCCAGACUGAUUCGUGUUCACUCAUACAGCCUCUUCGACUGCAGUGCCCAGAAGUGGAGGCAAUGAGACUUAAGUGAGCAUCCUCUGCUUUUGAAAUGAAUACGUUCUCUUGAAAUCAGUCUUUGCUGAGGAAAAAAAAGACCACUUUCGAAGGAAAUGCACCAUCUGGAGAGGCUUUACUGGUACAAAAAGUUGACUUUCUGUUGCUUCAGUAUCUGACACAGUGAGAGAUGUCUCCAUGAGGUCCUCCGCACUACGAUGGCUGUUGCAGAGCGGCUGCAGCGUUGCAAUGGUGCUGAUGUCUGGGCAGACCUGAAGGUACAGCAGAUCCCACCACGUUGAGGAGAUCCAAGCUGGCCAUUGGCAUGAGUUUAAUGCAGAGGGUGAUACAGCAACAGGAAGCUCAGCACACUGCCAAAAAGAGCCCAAAGGACAUGGGGCGUUCACCCUGCAUUGACCAGGCAGCCCUGUGCUGUUCCAGCUCUCCUGUUUGGAGUGGCACUGGUGGAGUCUCCAACCAUUUGAUAGUUAAAAGGAAGUUUAGCCAACAAAAAAGCCCAAGAGAGAAACCUUUCAGUGCCUUAAAGCAGCCACAAGUGCUGCAUAUCCCAGGAGAGCUGGGCUGUAAUUCCUGCUAGCUUAGCAUCAAAGGGUGCUCCGAAACUUUACCUUCCUGGUGACGUCUCUUCUUCCCAAUGAAAGAUGACCCAGGUGACCCCUGAUUGAAUGUCUCGAUAGUCCAGAAGGCAGGGAGCAAGAUAAUUAGAGCCACCGCUCUGAUCACAGGAGGGAGGUGAAGCCCAGGUAGGGGCUGAACAAAGCUCCUUUCAAUAGCGGGUGUGACGGCGGCGAUGGUCACAGAGGGGCUGGGGAGGGGGCAGGAGAGGGCUUUAAAGGGGGUUAAGGAGCUUAUUUUUGAAUAAAGGGUGCAGGAAGCUGGUUGUUAUCAUCCCAGUGCCAUUCAGGCUGCAGGUGUGACUUAAUCUCCUGGCUGUGGGUGUCAGCAUCGUCCGGAGCUCAGCCUGCACGGGAGCGACCACGCUUCCCACACCACUGCGGCAGACCUAUGCAUCCAAACCUGUGCAUAUCACCCAAAUGAUGAGGUAUUUUAAAAGUCCACAUCUUUGGCGUUCUUUGUACCUUCACAGCAUGAAGACAUCUCAUCUCCAAGCUUUGGAGAUCCUCCUCCCAGUGCAAAGGCACGAGAUCUGUGACUCGAUGUCAAGAGAUAGCAGCAAUCCGCCCCGUGCAUCACUGUCCCAACUCCAGUUUCUCCUUGCAACCUGGCAGCCCUUCCUCCUUAAAGCUCACCAUCUUCCACCACAGUUCCUCCUACAGCUCCCACUUCUCCACCUCCCCGUAGAGCUCUCAUGGGCAGCACCGCGUAUUUCCAGUGCUGGAUCAAGGCUGCUAUUAGCCCUCACCUGGACCCUCGCUGUCUCAUUCACUCAUAUCCAACCUUUUUAGAUCCUUGUCCUGUUUCCCUCCCCCAGACAAGGAGCAUUAAGGAAAAAACGAUGAAAAGCCACAGCCAUCCAACUGAAAGCUCCCGCUUCCUCUUUGCUGCUUCUUCCCCCCCCCCCAUUUUUGCUGGAGCCCCAGGAAGCACCCACACAAGUGUAAAAUUGCUUCCAUGCCGGGCUCUGCUCACGUUAAAGCCCUCUGACUGCUGGUGCACAAGUCCCUGCACAGCACAAAUUGGACCAAUUUGGAGCGAUUAGUGAAGAAUUCACAUAUGGUGCCCAGCCAACACCGUGGACUGAUCGCCUCCUGCAGCCCAUUAAGGGCCAUUUAUUGUGAUGGGCCCAUUUGUCUUUGUUGUUAGUUCUGGCAUGGCUGGUGACAGCUCUUUGGCUGGCCACCGGGCCAACCUCUCCCUGCCAUCAUCUCGGGGGUAGGAGGGCAAAGCUGAGACACACAUUGAGGCUGACACCAGCUGAUGGAUGUCCCCAGGAGCCAUGCCAGGCUGGAGCAGCAGGAGGAACUACCAGUUGGGGUUGUGCGUUGGGUCCAGUGGCCAUGCAGGGAAUGAAGCUGUGUCUACGUACAGUGGUUGAACUGAGAUGAUGGUACCAACGAGGUGACGUGAUAGAGAACUGCCCUUCCCCUGCGACCCCAAUGCUUAAGGGCUUCCAGCAGAAAGCUUGCAUAGAAAGCUUCGUGUCUUCCAACCAUCCUUCAGCCAAAGUUGAAGCCCGUGGGCUUCGAAGGCCAAAGGAUGGAUGCUGAGGACCAACCAAAGCAGGCAGGCUGGCCGCAGGAACACACCUCCAUGCUUUCUGCAGCUCCAGAAAGAAUGGGGAAAGAAAGAAGCAGCAGAGAACGCACUGAGGAGUGCCCUUGGAACAUAUUUUACCAUGGCUGGAGUUGAGCUGUUGCCCAGAUGACCGUGAGUUCACUUCCAGUAGCAAAAAGAUGCUUUCUGCUGCCACCAUUCCUCUGGCAAAGCAAGGUGAAUAGGCCAACGUAUGUUUACAUUGGUGUAAUGAUAACCAGACUGGUGGUUAUGUGUACAUGACUACAGAGCAAAAAAAUUCAUGCCCUGUAACUGACACAGGUGUCACAGCUCAGAACCGUCAGCAGGGCCGAGCAAUUUUAGAGGGACUAAAAUGGAAAGCAAAUGGUGCCACGUGGCGCUUUGCUUUCACAGAUGAGGAUUUUGAGGAGUUUGGAAUUUGGAAUUUCUCUUUCAAAAUCGAUCCUUUCAUGGCACGAGAGCUGAGAUGGGAAGAGAACAACCAAGGGACUUUAAUAUCAUAAAUGAAAUAUUUCCAUUCUUUGAGCUAUUGUUCUGACCAAAGCACUCGCCCACAAUUACCAUAAAAGCCUGCAAUUGAGCAGAAUUUACGGUUAUUGGUUAAAAAAAAAGGGAAAAAAACCAAUUUCAGAGCAAUCUUUUUGCCUCCUUUUGGCCCAGGUCCUCUUUGAAAUGGCAUUUAUGAAGGCUGACCUGUUUUUAACCUUCCUACAAGGGAAAAAACAGAUCAACACAAUCCCCCUCCCCAGCAGUCAACUUUCCCUGGCGGAGCUGAGCCAUAUUUUAACACCUCGGUCCCUUUGACAGCACCAUCCUAUGGGCUGCCAUGCGCUGACAGCCCCCAUUGUGUCCUUCCAGGGUAAUUAAGAACUUGAUCCAGAGCUUUUAAACCUCUUGGGCUGACGGAUACCCUCUGAAGCAAGGCACUGUCACUCUUUGGGGUGCUAAAAGGUUUCUGUCCCAGGCCAAGGGGCACCGGGACACCUGGGUCCGUUUCAGAGCUAUUUAGCCAUCUCCUUGUCAAGUGGGGCUAUUUGGGGAAUUGGGGUCAAUUAUAACCAGCCCUCACCUGUCUUGCUUCUAUGGAGAACUGGAGCCAGAUGGCAACGUGUAGGGUUGGCCUCUCCCUUUGUGCAGAGCUCAACUCAUCCCCUUCCCAUGGGGAAGAUGAACAUGGAGCUGCAAACCACCCCACAGCACUGCUUGAAAUAUGGUGGAACGGAGUGGAGUAGAGUGGAAUGAGUGGGAAAGGAGAUGUUCUUUCUGCUCUGAGCCCAUCAUCAGAUGAACCUCAGACACAGCAGUGAUCUCAGUGGGUACUGGGAGGCUGAAGCCAAGCAUCCUCAAAUCCACCCUCCCCAGUCCCAAAGCUGGUGAGUUUCUGCCAUCCAGGCAGGAAUUUCACGGCCACUUUGAGGUUAAAUCUGCCGUAAUUCCAGGCAUGUCCAACCUGCAGCUUCUCCAAGGGAUUCUCAAGUACACAAAUGGAUUUAGGAGCUUGGAGAUGGGACUUAGGCUCUGAAAUGGCUUUUCUGCCUUUGCUAAUCUCCCUGGCAGACUUCGUCAAGGCAGUUGUGUGCUGCCCACCAGAUUUCCAUGAUGUGAUCUUGUCUUUCUCCUCCUUGUUCUGAUUAAUAAUACUUUUUUGCAUUGCAUGAGAGGGCAAUGCACGGUGAGACUCUCCCACUCUGUUUAUCCAUACGGCGUUUUCGGGUGACGUUUGCCCAACAUUAGUGCACUUUAGCCUUUUGUCACUGAUUUCAGAAAAGCCAACAUUUCAGCCAUGUUCCCGAUUUUCUCCUUCCCUCUCGUGCUGCCGCCGCACUCUCUGCAGAUCUCCUUAACCAGAGGGAUGUUUGAAACCUCGCGUCCACUUUUUCCCCGCUGCCAGAAGUGACGUGAGGUGCAGCAGCCUUUGAUGAACCCUCUGGGACUCAUCAUUUGCUGGGGUGAUUCAGCAGCAGAUCACACACUCACGGUGCCCUUCCAGAGUGAUGCGCACAACGAAUCAGCGAAGCAAGCAAAACCAGCCGUGCAAAUCAAGACGUGCUCCCAGCUGAGGACCCGACCGACUCUUCCAUCAUGAGCGUGCGAUGCACCUUCCCCAUGUCACCCGACCCAGACCCUCCAACAGACAUUCUCUGUUGCUCAAGAAGACCAGGGUGGAAGAGGUGAAAUGUGUGCCUUCUUCCUCAUUUGAUGUCCUUGUUGCACUGUUUGGACACAGAGAAACUGCCUCUCAUUUUUGGUCAAAGAAUGGCACCGUGUCAGAAUGUCAGCUGAUGGCUAUACAUGUGCCUUGCUUUGGGGGAGAUGGUUCAGCCUCUCCGUGCGAAGCAGCUUUUCCAUGCCCUUCAGCACAUGGUUGCCCUUCUCCAGCCCUCCUGUAACUCCACAUCUUGGAACACAGUGGCUGGAGUGACACGUGGUACCCCAAACACGAGCACAGCAAGGUUCUGUGGAGCAGCACAACAGCCCCCUCUGCAUUCUCCUCGGUGCCCUUCGUGGAGAUACCCCAUUCCGUUGGCUGCUUUGGCUGUCAUCACGCAUUAAGCCAAUGAUAUCAUAGGAUUGCAGUGGUGGCUCCAAGAUCUCUUCCCUGAGCUGUAUCCCCUUCUGAGUUCAGCACUGUGCAGGCAUGAUUUAUUUACACCACCUUUUCCCAGAUGUGUUAUUAUAAUUUACACUCGAGAUAACUCGCCUGAUUGUUGCCCACUCAUUCAGUGGUGUGAGUGCCUUCUGGAGCCACUCACUCCUGGUGCACCCACAAGAGCCCGAAGCACUUUGUUAAGCAAGCACCAAUUUGCCAUUUUAUCCCAUGCUCUUAUAGAUUCUGAAGGUUUCUUGCUAUCAUUCCCUUUAGGAAGUCUAUUUAUUUGUUCGUUUCUUUUGUAUCACUGUUUUCCAUUAAACCAGGGGGAAAAAAACACCUCAACCAAAC